GCUUCGGUGGCUCAGCGGCGACAGCACUGCCCUUGUAAGGCAGCGACUUCGGUCCACGCGGGUUCGAGUCCCGCCCGAAGCU
rnacentral:tRNA from 1 species